rnacentral:lncRNA from 1 species
CACAGAUAUCAUAUGCUGAUGAAAUAUACUCUACUCCUACACAAGAUACUAAACAUGGAAACAACCGAGUAGAGUAAAUAUGGAAAUAAUAUGGGUGCAAGGCUCAAUAUGUAUAUGCACACAGAUAAUAGUAAGAGGGCAAGGGUAAGAAACCAUCACUGAACGUACACCACUGUACCGACGUCGGAUCGAAGUACCCACCUGUAAGGAUGUCGCGUCUGUCUCCUGACUGCAAAAGAAUGUCGACAGGACCUAUAGAGGGUCCACCGGGUUAGUAUCUAACCCACAACUAAUAACCACAGUAUCCACAACCC